GACGAACGCUGGCGGCGUGCUUAACACAUGCAAGUCGAACGGAAAGGCCCUGCUUGCAGGGUGCUCGAGUGGCGAACGGGUGAGUAACACGUGGGUGAUCUGCCCCUUACUUUGGGAUAAGCCUGGGAAACUGGGUCUAAUACUGGAUAGGACCAUGCUGUAGGUUGUGUGGUGGAAAGAUUAGUUUCGGUAAGGGAUGAGCUCGCGGCCUAUCAGCUUGUUGGUGGGGUAAUGGCCUACCAAGGCGUCGACGGGUAGCCGGCCUGAGAGGGUGGACGGCCACAUUGGGACUGAGAUACGGCCCAGACUCCUACGGGAGGCAGCAGUGGGGAAUAUUGCACAAUGGGCGCAAGCCUGAUGCAGCGACGCCGCGUGGGGGAUGACGGCCUUCGGGUUGUAAACUCCUUUCAGCCAUGACGAAGCCCUUGUGGUGACGGUAGUGGUAGAAGAAGCACCGGCUAACUACGUG
rnacentral:rRNA from 1 species